GAUGUUUCAUAUAAUAUGACAUGACUACGUCCAAUUAGAAUGCUAUUAACCUGAACAGUGAGACCAGCUGCUGUUGCUGUUGCUGCACCAUGUGCCAGGUAACCGGAUCGUUUGGAUUGCUUUACAAGAAUCGUAAGAGAUUUUUAUAACGAGAGGAUAUCGAUCGUGGAAAGAAGGGGAAACGCACGUACGCAUGAUUGGUGCAACGAAAGAAGGCAGUGAUUAGAAAUAAAUACCCUCAAUCCAUUUCUAUGAGCCUCGCCACCCGGUUGAACGUCACUGACGUAAAAUCCGGCGGCGUAUUCGCGUCCACCUCGUA